rnacentral:rRNA from 1 species
UUCUUAUUGAAUUUAUAAUAAGUAACAUCUGCUCCAUGAAUUUCUAAAUAGCCGCGGAAAUUUAACCGUGCUAAGGUAGCAUAAUCAUUAGCCCUAUAAUUAAGGGCUCGUAUGAACGAUGAAACAUUUCACUAUCUUUUUUAAAUUUUAUUAUUUAACUUAAACUAAGAAUAAAAAUGUUCUUAUUAAUAUAAAAGACGACAAGACCCUACCGAACUUUACUUUAGUUUUACUGGGGAAGUAAAAAAAUAAUUAUCUUUUUAUUUAAUUACUUACAUAAAUGACCCAAUACAUUUGAUUAUCUGCACAAGUUACCAUAGGGAUAACAGCGUAAUUAAUUUUAAAAGCUCUUAUUUAAAAAUUAAAUUGCGACCUCGAUGUUGAAUUAAUGAUACUUUUCCACGCAACAGUAAAAAAAGUAGGUCUGUUCGACCUUUAAUCCAUUACAU